rnacentral:lncRNA from 1 species
AUGAAGCGGAAACAAAAAAGGAAACACCUGGAAGAUGCAUACAUCCCCCAAAGUUCGAACAAGACAAAAAAAACGUUGAGUUUACAAGAAUAUGCUCUGCAGCCUAGACACGAUAGAGUGGUCCCAACUCAAGACCAGGAAGCAAAGGAUUCUUCUCCUUCAGAAUACUUCCCCGGCGUCUCUUCUGUAGACAAGCUGGCUGGUGCUGGAAUCUCAAACUUUAACCAAUAUAAUCCUCAAUUUGGGUACUCUUUGGAGAACAACAACAUGGUCCGUGAGGCACGAGACAGAUCCUCUGAAUCAGAAUACUUCUCAUGCUACUCUAGUUUCUCAAAUUUUUACAAUGUCUCUAACACUGAAGUCUUAGACUCAGUUGAAGACGAUGAGCAGCCUGGACCCUCUGGGUUGCCCCAAAGAACCCUUCCGAGGGCAAAGGAUUCAGACUCAGACGACGUGACCUCUGUGUCUUCUUCAGGAGUCAGUCAAGUACAGAAAAGUGUUUCUUCUCUUGGAUACCCUUUGGUAUCUCUAUCCCAGAACAGGGAGCAAUGGGAAUCUCCCUUUCCACCUCCUUUGGAUAAUAAUAAUAAGCCCCCAGUGCGUGUAACAGAGGAAACGAUCACAAAAAUUUGCUACAUUGCUGUCCCAAGAAAAAGGAGUACAGCUGUCUUAGAUACAGAGGAAAGGUUGGACCCCCCAAGAAAGAAGAAGAGAAAGAAGAGAUGAGCUUUCCUGAAGAGAUCCACACACCAGUCAGCCUCUCUGCUUUGGUUACGAAGGAACUCCCAACUGAGAGUGAGACCAAUUUUGCUGGCGAAGCUCAAGAGAAAGAGGAGGAUGCUGGCACUUCAGCAGAGCCUACAGCUCCGGGGGAAUGUUCUAGUGCCAACGUGCCUGAACCCCCGGUGGCCGUGGACAAUGACUUCAAGUGCAUGGGCUGCUGCGGGAUCUUCCCCAGCUUAGAGGUCCUUCAGAAGCAUGUGGAGCACGGGAUUGAGUAGGGCUUUAGCUGCCAUGCUUUCCAUCUUGCCAUGGCUUUCCUACAGAGCAAGAAGAACAAGAAAAAGAAGAAGAAGAAGAUCAAGAAGACAACAUCUACAUUCCAGUAAGAAAAAUAUUUUAGCACGAAAACCACCUUGUGCCAGUAAACAGAUUUUUUUUUUUUUUUUCCAGCCCCUAAAAGGGAGGAAGUGAAGCAGGCCAC